UUGUUUGCAGAUGUAGUAUCAUCAAGAUUCACAUAUUGUAAAGGCAUGGUGAUUAAUGAAGAAAAAUUAACGACCAUGGCUUUUUUGGAGGUGAGAAUCUUGAUGAUGCUGCAUCAGCAAUAAA
rfam:Nicotiana sylvestris Nsyl_contig216232, whole genome shotgun sequence.